AACUUUCAGCAAUGGAUCACUUGGCUCUUGCAACGAUGAAGAACGCAGCGAAAUGCGAUAAGUAAUGUGAAUUGCAGAAUUCAGUGAAUCAUCGAAUCUUUGAACGCACCUUGCGCCUUUUGGCAUUCCGAAAGGCACACCUGUUUGAGUGUCGUGUAACCCUCAACCUUGACAUCUUUUCCUUUGUCGGGGAAAAGGCGUUGUAGGCUGGUGAUUGAGUGCUGCUGUUAAUGUCUUGACAGCUCGCUUUAAAUAGAUAAGCCGUCCCUGUACUGCUCGGGUUGACUUGGCGUCAUAACAUUUUCGUCAAGGAUGCCGUUAAUGGCAGCUGUGCAGUGUAAGGGUGGCUCCCUAAUCUGCCUGUUGUGCAUUUUGCUUUUAGACCUCAAAUCAGGUGGGACUACCCGCUGAACUUAAGCAUAUCAAUAAGCGGAGGCU
rnacentral:misc_RNA from 1 species